rnacentral:lncRNA from 10 species
UCUUGGCCCAAACUAGAAAUUACUUUAUUCUCUUCUUUCUGCAUGUUGACUUUUUAUCAUAACUGUUAACAUCAUUCUUAGUAAUAAUGAGGAUUAUAAGAAUACACUGGUUUAAAUAGUGUUAUCUGUCUUUCUGACUCAAUGUAUAUUUUUAUAUUGUAUCUCCUUAUCUUCAUUGCAUUCCUAUAAAGCAGGUUGCUUAUCAUUUCUGAUUUAUAGAUGUAAAAACCAGGGCAUUGCAAAGCAAGAUGAUAUGAAGUCAAAUAGUAAUGAAAAAAUUGGUCCUUUUACCCACUCUCUAUAUUAGAAUUAAUUCACUCCCCCUGAAAUUCAGGAAAUGGGCUGGGGUGCGGUGGCUCACGCCUGUAAUCCCAGCACUUUGGGAGGCCGAGGGAGGCAGAUCACCUGAGGUCAGGAGUUCAAGAGCAGCCUGGCCAACAUGACGAAACCCCAUCUCUACUAAAAAUACAAAAAGUCGCUGGGUGUGGUGGUGGGCGCCUAUAAUCCCAGCUACUCAGGAGGCUGAGGCAAGAGAAUUGCUUGAACCUGGGAGGCAGAGGUGGCAGUGAGCCUAGAUCGCGCCACUACACUCUAGCCUGGGGACAGAGCGAGACUCUGUCUCAAAAAAAAAAAAAAAAGAAAGAAAAAGAAAAAAGAAACAAAUAACAACAACAACAAAAAACACAAGACAGAAAAUGGAGUGUAACAAUACAUAAAAAAGAAUUUUCAGUUGAAAAAGUGAUUUAGCCUUAGCACAUGUUUCCAAAUUAGGGGUCUUUCUUUCAAAUUGCCUUUAAACAUAGUACAGAAAACGGGGUAAUUUGGGUGCUUUCAAAGCUGACCCACCUGAACCAGGGCAUUUUAGGACAACCUUGUAGGAACUCUGAGUCAAAUUCUUGUGAUGCUAUGACUAAGUAUCAUGCUUUGGCUGCUUUCCCCCACCUCUUACUCAGAUUCCCCCAGCCCCCUUCUUAAGGAGAAUCCCUUUAACCCCUCCUAGGAAAUAUCCCUUCCCAUAGCACUUCAGAGUCUUUGCGGCAACUCUGCUGCAAUGUCCCCACUUGACACUGUGCUCCUUGUUGUGGUGUUAGGGCUAAGUUUCCCUUUCAUGGGACUCCAAGCUAGAAGUUGGUCUCAGCACUAAUGAAAGAUGCACAGUAUGUCCAUUGCUCAGUCAGCCGUUCUGAUCCACUGCUGAGGUUGCAGGUGUUCCUUGUCUCCAGGUUGCUGCUUGAUUCGUGGGAACCACCCCCACUCCCCCCUCAGCAGCGGUAGGGUAGAAG